UCUUCCGAGGCUAAUUCAUGAGAUGACAACGAAGGCUAUAGGAGUGCAACCUUCUCGAGCUGAAAUUUAUAUUGAAACCCGAACUCGAAAAGACGGGAGCAUUGUGACUGAAAAGGCAGCUUCAACAAUUGAGGAGUUAAAGAAGCAUAUGGCAGAGGUAGAAAAUUCAGAAAAUUUUCA